rnacentral:rRNA from 1 species
UACGAAGGGGGCUAGCGUUGCUCGGAAUCACUGGGCGUAAAGGGUGCGUAGGCGGGUCUUUAAGUCAGGGGUGAAAUCCUGGAGCUCAACUCCAGAACUGCCUUUGAUACUGAGGAUCUUGAGUUCGGGAGAGGUGAGUGGAACUGCGAGUGUAGAGGUGAAAUUCGUAGAUAUUCGCAAGAACACCAGUGGCGAAGGCGGCUCACUGGACCACAACUGACGCUGAGGUGCGAAAGCGUGGGGAGCAAACAGG